UACAGAGGUCCCAAGCGUUGUUCGGAUUCAUUGGGCGUAAAGGGUGCGUAGGUGGCGCCGUAAGUCGGGUGUGAAAUUUCGGAGCUUAACUCCGAAACUGCAUUCGAUACUGCGGUGCUUGAGGACUGGAGAGGAGACUGGAAUUCAUGGUGUAGCAGUGAAAUGCGUAGAGAUCGUAAGGAAGACCAGUGGCGAAGGCGAGUUUCUGGACGGUAACUGACGCUGAGGCACGAAGGCCAGGGGAGCAAACGGG
rnacentral:rRNA from 1 species